UCGCAGUGUAGCGGGGUCAAUCCGCGGUUACUACAACGGGGUGUUGAGUUUUUUAAUCCGUUUUCUGCAGAUUCAGAAGAUGCCGCGUACCUGCGUUUAUCCAGGCUGUUCAAACAAGCACACCACCUGGACCCCGUACAUAUUUCGCAGUAUUCCUCUACGUGACCUCGGUCUUCACCAACUUUGGCUUGUUGCACUGAACAUGGAUGUAAACACCUCACCUUCUGCACUGAAAGAGUUUAUCGUUAGCAGUGCCUGUUUUACCAAAGCAGGACUUUUUUACAAGGACGACCAAAACACACGCAUAGGUUGAAGACCUGUACCUACACUUCAGCACCGGGUGUUGUAAACCUUGCUGGUCAGGUUAAUUCUCCAAUUUCACCUUCAACUACACUCCAACACCCGGUGGACACCGAGGUGUCCCAGGCCUUAUCCAAAGGGGAGGGAGGCGGCUGACGGUGCGACGUUCGGCUGUGGUGGCCACUCAACAUCUGUCCACAUACAUGACUUCUGCUGCCUCGAGUAAAAAUCCAGAGCUUGUGCCUAGUAGGUUUGGCAAGGACAAGCUGUCUGCAGCAGGACUGGGGGAGAGACGUCUCACAUUUCAAGGCCAGUAUAACAUUACCAUUAUGUGAUCUUAGUCUUUUUCACUCUCUGAGUUCAUGAUUCAUUUGACUCGAUCUCAAGUUGUUAAGCAAAAUCAGCUGUUAUAUAUAGUGAUAUCAUUUCUCCCCUCUUAAGGUCUCCAGACAAACCCAGAAGAAUUCAAAGAUUUCCUUUUGACAUCAUUUCCAAAGCUGAGGGAUGGUGGUGAUUUCAAGUUACUUAAAAUAUUGGGAACAAAAAGACGUCGCCUUCUUGCUCCUAUUCCAUGCCCUAAUACUGGCUCCCAGUAUCUCAAAGACCCUCAAACUCAGAUUGGACAUGCUGCAAUCUUCAUUCAACCACUUCAAAAAUAAUCUGGAUCUGGAGCCUAUUUCUCAACCAGGAUGCAGUAGAGAGCUGGUUGGACCACCUCAGAAAUGUGUAAGAUGUGGAGAAGAAUUCCCUUUUUCAGAUUGGAAAUAGAGCAAGAUCCCACAGAUGCGGCAAAAAUGUUCAGAGAGGAGAUUUUAAAUCAGCAUUCAACUGUAAAACCAUUAAGUGUGGUCAUGGAUCUUGGAGACAGUGCAGAGGAAAGGGACAGAGCUAUCUUUUCUUUUUACAAGAUGGCUCAUGUUGAUUGGGCCUCUCCUUUGACAUGCACACUGAAAGGAGAUCCAGCUGCUGGUGAUGGUGUGACUCGACAUUUCUUUGCAUCAACCAUGUCCAAACUUCAGCAUGGGUUUGAUAUCCAUUUUAGGGAACUCUUCUGUUUAAGGGGAACCAUUUGAUUCCCUCUACUUCCCAUUUCCUCCAUGAGAGCGACCUCUUUGUUGUUGCUGGACGAAUGACUGGGCAUUCCUUCCUACAUGGUGGGCCGUGCCUUGUUGGACUGAGCCCAGCAAUCGUGCAUGUGCUCUUUGAUGGAUCCCCAGAAGAAACCACCAAAGAUAUUAAGGACUGCGCUGGUGUUAAUACUGUGUACCCUGGUAAAAUCUGUGGAGGGUAUGACUGUAUCAAAAAAUGAAUACCCCCCAGUCCUACUUUCUACUAGCUUUUGAAACAGGAAAAGAGGAGAGAAAGGGCAGAUCAUCCACUUACUAGUCAGUCUAGGAUGGUUCAGAUCUGUAGAUUAUGGUUUUAUCUAAAAAAGUCUUGAAAUAAACAACAGACAAUUUUUACAUAUGUUCUAAUCAAAGUUACAAAGUUAUUUUAGCUGAUGGUCUGAUGGCAUCAGUGUGAUUACUCAGCAUACUUUUUUGAAUUUUUCACUUUUUUGAUUAAUUGAUGAAAAGCAUUUAAAUAUUUCGACAGCACUAGUUGAAAAACCAGUAAGAAAAUAGGUUUAAAAAAGAGAGAUGAAAGAAAAUAAGGAAUGUAAAUAAUACAUUUUUUAUUUAUUUGUUAAAAUAUAUUGACAUAUUGUAAUUUAUGAUGAGUAAUUCAUGUUUUGUUGCUUAACAAUAGUUGUUAAAAAUCCCUGGUGAUUAUUUUGAUGCAUUUCCUUGGAUUAUGGUUAUACAUCAUAAGAUACAGUAAAUGAAGAAAACAAGUGAAUGAGGUCACUAGAUUAGAACACAAAUAGAAUAAAAUAACUCACAGUUCUGCUCUAUGUGUUGUUUUUUUUGUCUAGUGGAGAACGAGAACAUACUGUAGAUGAACUUGUGGAGAGCCCAGCCCAGUGAGACUGAGGACGGUGAAGAACAUGGUGUGUCCAGCUGUAUGACCUGCCCCAGAGGAUGUGGGAUUGCUGGUUCACUGGUCCAGAUCCAGAUCAGACACACACUCUAUGAACUUACCCUGGUAGUAACAGAACUGACACUGAACACAUAUGCACAUCCUGACUCUUCUGACCAGAACUGAACUCUUUGUGAGCUUUAAACCUUUCUCAACCCUCCUGACAGAGGAGCAUUCAAGUUGGGAGGCUACAGUUACAUAAAUGAGUUUAGUACAUGAGCUGUAUUUACUAUUUUGUUAUCCUUCUCUGUGUCUUGUGUAUGAUUGAACACUUGGUGGCGCUAUUGUCAAGUAUUCACAGCAGCCUUGACACUGAGGGAUGAAGAAGAGAAACAGACCUAACUGGGCAGGAGGACAAAGACUAAGAUUUUUAUAUUUUACUGUAAGAAUCUGGCAUUUAGUUUCUUCAGGAAUUAAACAAAGACCUAUUCAGUGACAAACACAGUGUCACAGUUUUCCCAGGAAGGUUCAUGAACAGGUCUCUUGUUUAAAAUUUUGUCCUGUUAUCAUGUCUCCUGCUACCAUGUGACAGUAUGAGUUCUGUCAAGAGAGCCUGAGAAGUUUUUUUGGGUUCAGCUGUCUCAAAUAACUAAAAAAGUGUUAACAGUUUGUGAUUUUUGUGCUUGUUGGUUUUGGGGUUGUAGUACAAGACUCAUCUGUUUUAAUAAAAGGGUGUGUUUGAUGAUGUGGGGUGGGAUUCUUGAUACUUACAAAUACAGCAACAGAAAAUCUUCAGCUUAGAGCACUGAUUAAAGCUAGGGCUGUAUGACGAUUAUUGGUACAGAGAAAAUUAUCGUCCAAUAUUGCAAAGAUUUUGUGGAAUUUUUCUUAGUCCAAUUUAAAAAACAAACUUAUAAAAUCCACAGAUAAUUAAGGCACGAGACUACACCUUCUACAACAGUGCCUAGUCUGUCAUUAAGCCCCAAAGACAAAGCUUCUGCUGCACCAUGACCACAGUUAAAGCUUCAGUAGACUUUAUCAGGCUUUACUUUACUAGUGUGGGAGUUUUUCAGUGUUUCAGAGGAGGAUAACAGGACUGUGUGUGUAAAACAUGCUCUGCAACAAUUCUGAAAAGAGGAACAACUCUGAGUUGAAACACAAACGAUAUUAACCCUCUGACACUGGCAUUGUCAUACAAGACAAGAGGAGGCAUGUGUUAUUCAAAGUUGAAAAACUUUUGACACCGUAAAUCGUAGGCACUUGUUUUUUUCCUCUGAAAGCCCUCCGUUGUGCCAUUCUAAUGACGCCUUUUUAGCUCUUACAGAUCAUUUUCUAGAAGGUCUGGACCUUGGUUGACUUUCCCAGCUCUUAAAAGACUAAAUCCACACCAAUUACUCUGAUUUGACAUCUUUUUAUCCAUUUGUUAACCAUUUUUUUGAUUGUUCUUGCUGCUCAUGCUAAACCUUCUGUCCUUUUGUCUGUUUGUAUCCCAGAAUGCAUUGUGACUGAGCUGUGACAACCAAAGGCAGGCUGUUUUGUCAUCACAUCAUGCAUGUUGUUUAGGAAUAAAAUUAUACUCUCUGUCAUUUUUACAGCCUCUUACAUGAAUUAAUUAACAAAUAAGGCUCGAACAUAAAAAGGACCAGUGACAAAAGUACACGGACAAACAGUUUGAGUUUCAAAAUGAAAAUACAAGCUUUAUUUA